AGCGUUGUCCGGAAUUAUUGGGCGUAAAGGGCUCGUAGGUGGUUUGUCGCGUCGUCUGUGAAAUUCCGGGGCUUAACUCCGGGCGUGCAGGCGAUACGGGCAUAACUUGAGUACUGUAGGGGUAACUGGAAUUCCUGGUGUAGCGGUGAAAUGCGCAGAUAUCAGGAGGAACACCGAUGGCGAAGGCAGGUCUCUGGGCUGUUACUGACGCUGAGGAGCGAAAGCGUGGGGAGCGAACAGGAUUAGAUACCCUGGUAGUCCACGCCGUAAACGGUGGAUGCUGGAUGUGGGGCCCGUUCCAGGGUUCCGUGUCGGAGCUAACGCGUUAAGCAUCCCGCCUGGGGAGUACGGCCGCAAGGCUAAAACUCAAAGAAAUUGACGGGGGCCCGCACAAGCGG
rnacentral:rRNA from 1 species